CAACGGGAUUCACCUCCGAUUCUACGAGGCUUGAUGCGACCGGUUCGCUGGAUGCUGCCACAAGAUGGCUGGAAAAGCUGCCCCUUCUCUUCCGGUGCGAGCAUCAUCCGGGACUUCGAGCAGCGAACACAUUGGAGUAAUAUUCCACGUCUUCUGGGAGCUGAUGACUGCAGCAGCGCCACAGUCUGACCUCUUCUUUGGAAGGAAUUCCUCUGAUCGGAAAGGAAGGACGGAGAAAGAGAAGAAGAGGGAGUGAGGAAAUGUAGGCUGAUGUAACAGCCCCCUUGGCUGAAGGACUGAGGAAAAAAAGAAAAAAAAGUGUUUUUUUUUUUUACCUGACACUCAACACUUUUAGUGACAGAAAAACAUAAAGAAAGGAAGAAAAAACACAAAAAAGAGUCACAGCUUAUUUAAAUUUGAAUGUUGCUAAUUCAAUAAAGUUUGCUGAUUUUUUAA